GACGAACGCUGGCGGCGUGCUUAACACAUGCAAGUCGAACGGAAAGGCCCUGCUUUUGUGGGGUGCUCGAGUGGCGAACGGGUGAGUAACACGUGAGUAACCUGCCCUUGACUUUGGGAUAACUUCAGGAAACUGGGGCUAAUACCGGAUAGGAGCUCCUGCUGCAUGGUGGGGGUUGGAAAGUUUCGGCGGUUGGGGAUGGACUCGCGGCUUGUCAGCUUGUUGGUGGGGUAGUGGCUUACCAAGGCUUUGACGGGUAGCCGGCCUGAGAGGGUGACCGGCCACAUUGGGACUGGGAUACGGCCCAGACUCCUACGGGAGGCAGCAGUGGGGAAUAUUGCACAAUGGGCGGAAGCCUGAUGCAGCAACGCCGCGUGCGGGAUGCCGGCCUUCGGGUUGUAACCCGCUUUCGCCUGUGACGAAGCGUGAGUGACGGUAAUGGGUAAAGAAGCACCGGCUAACUACGUG
rnacentral:rRNA from 1 species